UGUAAAGGCAGAAGCCUAAGCAUGGUGUCUGUCUGGCACAUGUUAGGCACCUUAAGCUUUUUGACAAUGAUUUGUCAAAUCAACUACGGAUUGGGAAAAUAGCUUAAAAUCACAAAAGAGGAGGUAAGGUAGUACUGUUUCAAUGCUUUAUUAACAGUUGGAAACAUACCCACCGAACUGGAGGUGAUGACAUCCCAGAAGCCCAAGAGGCAAGGGAAACAGGAAUUUCCUAGGCCAAAACCAUUUUCAAGUCUGACCUGGGGAAGGCUGUCCAAACACAGGAAGGCCUUCAGUACGCUGCUGGGGGCAACUCCCAAAAAGCAGAGCAGCAGCCACGCACUGAGGUCAAGUGCAGGUCACACUCCUAUGUGUACCCCCACCCCCACCUCUUCAGGGAUAGCAGCUGUGAGACAAAUGCCAAGGGGCGCCUGCUAGCUUUUGCGGGGUCAUGGGAAAGAUGAAUGGAGAAAGCAGUGCUUCAGCCUUACAGAAGCAAGGACAGCUGCAGAGCCCAGCGCCCCUAAAGGAUGGGGGCAGCUCUGGGACACACACAGGAAUGAACUAAGUGCCCACACCUUCAGCCAGGUCAGAAGCCAAACGGGGGAAGGCCCCGCCCUUCCCUGGGGCUGUUGCCUCUGCAGAACCGAGACCCAGCACCCAGCACCGCUGUGUUCACACCACAGAGGCCCCCUCCCCAGGUCAGGGAACACACUGCAUGCCUACAGGUUACCAAUGCACAGGUCUCCUCCUCCUCCAACACUUCCUGCCAGGGGCACAAUGGACUGUCUAACAAGAGGAGAAAGAAGAGUGAAGGCUCUGACAGGCACAAACCCUCACCCUGUGGUUCCAGGUGGAAGGAAUGUACACUGGAACUGGAAAGAGAAUCAACAGAACAGAAGAAUCCUGGCUUCCACUCUGAAGAACUCAGAAAAAGCUUAGUGGAAACAGCCCUGGACUUGGAAUCACAAAAGGCGACUACAGUUCUAGCUCUGGAUCUGGGAGAGGAAGAGCUUAUCUGGGUCUUAACUGCUUUCAUCGAUGAGGAGAUCAGACGCUAAACACUAAGUCUAAUGCUGGUCACACUCUACUGUGAUAGAACCUUUGCAGCUACUGUGAGGCCAGAUCACUUUAAAGGACGUGAACGCACUGUCUGAGCAGCACACCAGAGGAACUGUGUCUCCCCUAGACACCCAGAGCCCAGGAAGAUCACGUUACAGGAUGGAACCAAUUUAAAAAUCAUGUAGUUCUCUGCUUCACUAUCUCCUAGUAUCAUUCUCCUAUUCCACUUGGACUAAUUUAGAUCCUCUGCUGAAAAGUUAUGUUCCAGUAAAAUCCCUGUUUCCUC